AUUUCACAAAAAGUUAGCAAGUUCGGGACCAACUUGGAGAACUUGGGAACUAACUUUGGAAUUAAAGCAGCUGAAGUUUUGUGAAACCAACUGUAAAGCCAAAAAGUCAGACGUUUUAAGUUAUUGCUAGAUUUUUAUAUCACACUCAAUUAUGAAAAACAAAAACUAACUUUACAAGGACAAGUCUGUAUCGGAUACAAUUGACGAUUAAUAGGAUGAUUAAGGUAAACAAUCCACGGGUUACAUGAUGUCUGAGCUAUUACAUGGAUGGCUACACACUACAGGCCUAGGGGAGUCAAAGCAGGACAAAUAAAUGAAGCUAAUUAGCUGGGCCAUCAUGGUUAAUAAUUUACAGAGAAAUGUACAAGCAAUCAAUUAAAUCUUAAUUACUGAAA